rnacentral:lncRNA from 1 species
CGCAGGGCGGAGCGCCGGGCUGGGGAUGAGCUAAGCGGGCUCCGAGCGCCGCGGCAUUCAGCCCCUCGUGUCCCGCCGCCGCUCGUGAGGGGACCGGGCACCGCUCUCCAAGCUCGACCCGCUGCUCGCGCGGGAGCCAGCCGUGAGCACAGUAUUUCUCAAACUCUGAGGCUUGCAGAAUUCACAAAUUGAGAUCUGGCAUCAUUUUCAGAGGGAGACCUUCAGUUAUGUGGUUAGCCUAGGUAGCAAAUGCUUAUUAACUACUUUGACUUAAUGAAGUGAUAGAAGAAGUAAAAAAGAAUCUGAAUUGAUUGGGCGGAGAUCAAAAGGGAGGAAAAGAAAUCAGUCUUCGUUAGUUGCUGAGUUGGACAGUCAUCUGGGUAAAACUGCUUGUUUUUUGCGGAGCACCUAUCAUAUGCAGUCAGCUGAGAGCGACUAUUCAACAUUUCACGGAGUCUUCUCAGGAGGACAGAU